GUGCAAUCUAAAAAGGACACCCUGUAUAGGUUCCCGAAGGACAUUCAUUGAAGUGUCAGAAAACUUGGCGCGCGUCUUUUGUUUGCGCCCCGAGGUAAAGUCAACAAACAAAACAGCGCUGAGUGCGGCCACCUUUGUCACGACCUCAUUUACCCGGAAGAGGGAUCGGAUUUCGAUAAUUUUGGACGAGGCAUUGAAGGCUCAACGUCUCAGGAUCGAAGCCUCGCAACGAAAAAUAUCCAUUUUAGGUCUGUUUUUACACCUAAAAAAGCCACUAGGAGGAAUGCUGAGGAUGUUGCGUGUGGUGUCUUAUUUAUGAUGGACAUCAGGUAUGCGGUAUUGCCAUCGGAGUUCCCUACGAGAAUCUGGGUCCUACCAUAGAAGGCCCGGUUCUGGACGCCCUGGAAACAGAACCACAGGAUGACAGUUUUUUGACUUCGGGAAUUUUGCGAAAUCGGCACCUUACUUUUGUUCAAGAGAUUCAUCAGCUCCAGGAAGUUCGAGGUGCCCAUAUUUCUGAACGCACUACUCAAAGAUUUUUUUUCUCAAAGAAGAUCGCGAUUCAGCGUAAACGCCACCUAUACAAAAGAAAAGAUACCGGCCCGAAUCGCGGCCAUUAGAGCCCUGAGUGGUGCUACGUGGGGCAUCUGCUGGAAAACUAGGCAAACAUAUUAUUCCGUAUUGUGCCAGUCUGUCCUGCUCUAUGCUGCCCCUGUGUAGACAAGAGUGCUACGAGAGGCCGAUUGGGCGAAACUCCGCAGCGCACAACGGGCGGCAUUAUUAGCGGUCACACAGGCCUACCGGACGACAUCGACAGAUGCCUUGACAGUAAUAGCCGGGCAUCCCCCGCUGGACCUGAAGGCAAAGGCUGUGUGUGCUACAUAGGAACUCGCCAACGAGUACCAGCCCUGUGUCCCCGUGCAAACAAAAGAAGGUCGACUCCUGGCUGAAAGAUGAAUGGCAACGCAGACGGGAUACGUCGCCCAAUGGGAGGCACACUUAUCUGCUACUGAGGAGCAUAGAGAACCGCUUGGCCAUGGCCCACCUGACGGUUGACCACUACAUGUCCCAAUUGCUGACGGGGCACGGGGACUUCUCGGCGAAGCUGCACGGCUUAGGACUGAAGGAUAGCCCAUUGUGUGAGACGGUCGAGCACGUAGCCCUUGUGUGCGAAAUGUACACUGUCCUCCGCACUCGAUGGAUGUAUGAAGCCGAUGUCGAUGAGGCUUCCAUGGACACCGUGCGUCGUGCCAUAUCCAGCCCGGCCGGGUGCAAGGCCACGCAGAAGCUGUGGAAGGCCAUUAUGAGGCAGAAAGGCUGGCCGGCCUAACUUAGGCCAGUGCCCCGAUGUGUAACCCGAAAAGUAAGAUAAGUAUGCAUUAAUCACUGCCACUACGAUGCUCUUCCCCCAGUUCCCAACCGGACGCCUUCGCGAGGCCCAUCCUGGGGGCGCCAGCUCGGCGCCGCUAAGUUCCGGCGGGGGAAUAGAUCUUCGGCCACUAGGCAGUGAAAGUUACCUGCAAAGCUCUUCAAGGGCCAAGGAGCAGGAUAAGAAGAAAGAAAGACCUAGUGGUUACUCAAGGAAGAUUAAAUCCAUAUGGACUGAUGGCUUUUCGCCCCGUAAGAGGACGAAAAUUGACCAGAGCACCCAGAGUUGCAUGGCUCGCAUAUGCUCGAGAACUCAGCCAUUGGUCUUUGGCCGAUUGGUCUGCUUACUUUUUACAUAUGAGUGUAGAUUUGCUCUACGAAUUCCAGCUGGGCGUGUAAGAGUGUGGAGAAGGCGAAAUGAAAGGUACGAAGCUUGUAAUUUUUCCCAGAUCCAACCUUUUCAACGUAGCUCAGUUUUGAAGUGGGCGGGAAUUUCCAUGGAGGUUGUUGUUGAGUUCACAGAGUUGGUUGUUGUUCGUGGAGGGUCUUUGACAGCCACUCUCUAUGUGGACGAAAUUUU
rnacentral:lncRNA from 1 species